CAACGUAGUUGGAAGAUUAUCCUGAUGGCUCCAACUGAUCCAUCCCUCUACUCCGUCUGCAGAUCACAAAGUCCUGCAGAGCACAAGAUGUGUGUCUUCCAUUGUGUCCCUGUUUGCAGCACUGCCACCAUCUGGAAAGUUAAUGUCACAGCGCUGUGGCCUAUCCAGAAUUAUUUCACCUGCUCCCACACUGACCAGAGAAAUAGGCCACAGGCUACAUUUGGUCCAUAUCCUAUGGUUUGCUAAACAUCCCUGUAAUGAUGGACGGCCGGAACAUAGAUGCAUUUGGGAAAUUAGUCUAAAAGAAUUAAAGAAAGUAACCAAGGUCAAAGAUUGGUACGUUGGUUAUUAAACACCUAGGCUCAAAGCACUCAUUCUGUCUUGAUCAAAUAGCAUUGUUUUAUUUUGUUUUUAUACAAAAGUUCAUGCUCUGUCUCCUCCUUAUUGCUCCUCUUCUUUCUCCCCUCCUCUUUUUUUCCUCUUCCUUUUCCUUCUUGAAUUUCUUGAAAUUUAUGGUCUAUUGC
rnacentral:lncRNA from 1 species